ensembl:rRNA 5S_rRNA 5S ribosomal RNA
GGUAAGAACCCUUUGUAUCAUCCUGUACACACCCGAUCUCGUCUGAUCUCAGAAGGUAAGCAGGGUCGGGCCUGGUUAGUACUUGGAUGGAAGAAUGCCUGGGAAUACUGGGUGCUUUCACUU